ensembl:snRNA U6 U6 spliceosomal RNA
GUUCUAACUUCAGCAGCACAUAUACUAAAAUUGAAACAAUUUGGGCAAGAUCAACAUAGCUCGCAGGCAAGGAUGACAUGCAAAUUUGUGAAGCAUUCCAUAUUUUU